ACAGAGGUUGCAAGCGUUAAUCGGAUUUACUGGGCGUAAAGCGUGUGUAGGUGGUUCGACAAGUCGGUUGUGAAAUCCCCGGGCUCAACCUGGGAAUUGCUUCCGAGACUGUCAGACUAGAGAUCGGUAGAGGGCGGUGGAAUUUCCGGUGUAGCGGUGAAAUGCGUAGAUAUCGGAAGGAACACCAAUGGCGAAGGCAGCCGCCUGGGCCUGAUCUGACACUGAGACACGAAAGCGUGGGGAUCAAACAGGA
rnacentral:rRNA from 1 species